rnacentral:pre_miRNA from 1 species
UGAUGAUUAUGAUGAUGAUGGUGAUGAUGAUGAUGAUUGUGGAGAUGAUUAUGAUAAUGGCCAUUAUCAUCAUCAUCAUCAUCAUCAUCAUCAUCA